rnacentral:rRNA from 1 species
AGUGAACGCUGGCGGUAGGCCUAACACAUGCAAGUCGAACAGCAGCACAGAAAGAGCUUGCUCUUACGGGUGGCGAGUGGCGGACGGGUGAGGAAUACAUCGGAAUCUACUUUUUCGUGGGGGAUAACGUAGGGAAACUUACGCUAAUACCGCAUACGACCUACGGGUGAAAGCAGGGGAUCUUCGGGCCUUGCGCGAUUGAAUGAGCCGAUGUCGGAUUAGCUAGUUGGCGGGGUAAAGGCCCACCAAGGCGACGAUCCGUAGCUGGUCUGAGAGGAUGAUCAGCCACACUGGAACUGAGACACGGUCCAGACUCCUACGGGAGGCAGCAGUGGGGAAUAUUGGACAAUGGGCGCAAGCCUGAUCCAGCCAUACCGCGUGGGUGAAGAAGGCCUUCGGGUUGUAAAGCCCUUUUGUUGGGAAAGAAAAGCAGCAGGUUAAUACCCCGCUGUUCUGACGGUACCCAAAGAAUAAGCACCGGCUAACUUCGUG